rnacentral:rRNA from 1 species
CAGUCGCCGCGGUAAUACGUAGGGUGCAAGCGUUAAUCGGAAUUACUGGGCGUAAAGCGUGCGCAGGCGGUUUGUUAAGACAGAUGUGAAAUCCCCGGGCUUAACCUGGGAACUGCAUUUGUGACUGGCAAGCUAGAGUCUGGCAGAGGGGGGUGGAAUUCCGCGUGUAGCAGUGAAAUGCGUAGAUAUGCGGAGGAACACCGAUGGCGAAGGCAGCCCCCUGGGCCAACACUGACGCUCAUGCACGAAAGCGUGGGGAGCAAACAGGAUUAGAUACCCGCGUAGUCCCUGUCUCUUAUAA